rnacentral:rRNA from 1 species
GAUGAACGCUGGCGGCGUGCCUAAUACAUGCAAGUCGAGCGAACGGACGAGAAGCUUGCUUCUCUGAUGUUAGCGGCGGACGGGUGAGUAACACGUGGAUAACCUACCUAUAAGACUGGGAUAACUUCGGGAAACCGGAGCUAAUACCGGAUAAUAUUUUGAACCGCAUGGUUCAAAAGUGAAAGACGGUCUUGCUGUCACUUAUAGAUGGAUCCGCGCUGCAUUAGCUAGUUGGUAAGGUAACGGCUUACCAAGGCAACGAUGCAUAGCCGACCUGAGAGGGUGAUCGGCCACACUGGAACUGAGACACGGUCCAGACUCCUACGGGAGGCAGCAGUAGGGAAUCUUCCGCAAUGGGCGAAAGCCUGACGGAGCAACGCCGCGUGAGUGAUGAAGGUCUUCGGAUCGUAAAACUCUGUUAUUAGGGAAGAACAUAUGUGUAAGUAACUGUGCACAUCUUGACGGGACCUAAUCAGAAAGCCACGGCGAACUACGU